AGUGAACGCUGGCGGUGGGCCUAACACAUGCAAGUCGAGCGGCAGCACAGUAAGAUCGUGCUCUUAAGGGUGGCGAGUGGCGGACGGGUGAGAAAUACAUCAGAAUCUAAUUUGUCGGGGGGAAUAACGGGAGGAAACUUACGCUAAUACAGCAUAUAUCGUACGGCAGAAAGCAGUGGAGCUUCAGGCCUUGCGUGACACAUUGAGCCGACGCCGGAUUGGCUAGUUGGCGGGGUAACGGCUCACCAAGGCAACGAUACGUAGCGGGCCUGAGAGGAUGAUCGGCCACACUGGAACUGAGACACGGUCCAGACUCCUACGGGAGGCAGCAGUAGGGAAUCUUGGACAAUGGGCGAAAGCCUGAUCCAGCCACGCCGCGUGAGUGAAGAAGGCCUUCGGGUUGUAAAGCUCUUUUAUUGGGAAAGAACAACAGCGGAUUUAUCCCUGGACGUUCUGACGGUACCCAAAGAAUAAGCACCGGCUAACUACGUG
rnacentral:rRNA from 1 species